rnacentral:pre_miRNA from 1 species
CAACUACUCCCUCUAUCCCAAAUUUCUUGUCUUAGAUUUGUCUAGAUAGGGAUGUAUCUAAUACUAAAAUGUGACUUGAUACAUCCAUAUCUAGACAAAUCUAAGACAGGAAUUUUGGGACGGAGGGAGUACUUA